AUUGAUUAUAUAUCACAUCGACAGAGUCACUUAUCACGGACUUUCAAUCGCACAUGGUCAAAUUGUGUCUGGGUCAGAGACCAUACGCCAAACUCCACCAGAGCCACAUGGCCCAGGUUUUGGUAUGCAGAUACGCAGCCCAGGGUUGUCAAUAGGACCACUGUCCAUCAUCGUCAGUUGACGGACAGACUUGAACCAAAAGAAAUCGCUCAAUUUCCCAGGAUGCGGUCUCCAUGGCUGAAGAGAAACAACACACAACCUGACGGGCAAGAGACAAUCAUACUCAGGAACGGCCCCUUCCCCAUCACCGCUGGCCGUGUCAAGCUUGGAAAUGGAUCCCGGCCGCCUCUGAAGCAUUUAGCACCACAAUUAUCCCCCCAUUCACAGGGCUGCCUGCGCUAAUGUAAACCACACCAGGCACUAGCCGUCAUUCAACCGCAGUAAAAAAAGGCAAUGCAGAAACCCAUCCUCUGUGACAGCAAUUUGACGCAAUUCCGUCCCUGUGUCACCGUUGCUACAAAUAGGGGUCAACUCAUUUAUUAAGCAAUUUCU
ensembl:lncRNA